rnacentral:lncRNA from 1 species
UUUAGGUGUAUCAAACUCCCCUAAACUUGAACCAUUGCUUGUCCUCAAGCAAUUUAGCUUGCAUAUAGAAAACAUUUGAAAUGCGAAGCAACUCACACACACAAACUCAGAGAAAAAUAACAUCACAAGUACUCAUACGUGGUCAGAAAUUCAAAUAGGCUAAGAUUAAUUAGUUAGGUUCUUUAUACAAUCAAGAAGGGUAUUUCAACGACACACAAAGUUCUCCCUCUUAUACAUAUCGAAUUUGGAUCAUGCCGUUAUACUAAAAUCUAAAUCUUCUCCUUUGUUUCAUCCUUUUUCAUUCUAGACAGUCACAUUAAGACCCUUUAUCUAUGUCACACACAUGGUAAGAAAGCCGGUUAGCGUCUUUAUUCAUCUUUUCAACUCGCAAUUAGCUUGAUGAUGCAAAUUUUUUGUAUGAGCAAUCUUAUAAAUAUUUUUUUCCCAAGGUUUAACCGUAUUACCACAGUAUGACCUUAUAUUAUUUUUUCCUUUAAGGUUUAACCGUAUUACCACAGUAUGACCUUAAAAAUUUGCUUAGAUGAUUCACUUAUAUUCAUCGACAAACCUACUUAAUGUGUGACUUUAUAGAUGGUGUCCGACUGGAUAGAUAAACUACUAAAGGAUUCCACAAAUUUAAAUCAGGAGAUUUUGGCACAAUGGUUAUUCAAAUUGAUAUCUAUACUAGGGAGACUUCUGGGUGUUGGAAAAAUACUGAUUUUGUUGUAAAAUUCCCUAAUUUCCUUAAAUUAGCCUCUCGUCUUUUCUUAACCUAUAUACUUUCUAAGUGAGCUAUUAUCCUAAGUCUUUGGAAAAAAAUUUAAUUUGGCUCAAGAAAAGGAAAAAUUUAGAAAACCAAAGAAUAUACUAUAAAUUCAAAUUUUUUUAUUAUGCGAAAGGAAAAAUAAACUAAUAAAAAUUCAAAUAACUAAAAACUAAAAGUAAAUAAAGAUAGUAGAAUACUCCCCUAAACUUAAAUUCAACAGUGUCCUCACUGUUGUGACUCAAGAGUAGAUUUGGAGCGUAAAACCUGUGAUAGAUCAUGAGGGAGGUUGUUGAUAAUUUUGGAAAUUAUUGAACUGAAGCCUUAAACCGCCUAGCUCUUGUAUGACAUU